CAUGCCCUAUUGUUAAACCCAGGUUUGGUGGAAGUGCCAAUAAAAAACAGUUUCAGGUUAGGGUGGACCUCAGAGUGGGUAUUCUCCAGGGGAUUUUCACAUUCUCAUUUGGCAUUCAAUGGACUUAAACUUUGAAAAACAACCUAUUACAUCAUAUUUUUCCGCAAAUAUUUUCAUUACACAAUAUUUUAAUCAGAUCAGAAGUCUUUUCAAAUAAACUCUCAGUUUCACUUACUUUAGUCAUUUACUUCAAGUUCAUUGAGGAAUGAGUAUUUUUAAGCUAUAGAUGUUAUUGUAGUCACAGAUGUUUUUAUACUGUACAAACUUUUGUACCCAGUCUCAAACUUCACAGGGAGUACAAUCCAAUUGUUUUUAAUGAUUAUUGUGUCAGUGGGUACGAAGGUCACAUGACUGUUCAUCGCCAUUCAAGGAAUCAGGCAGGAACUAUCAGCAUGUGAGAAUGCAGAGUUAAGGCUGAAGAUGUAUCAGUCUUCUUGUGAUCACAAAGCAACAAACACAGGAAUGAAAGCCGUGUGCUAAAGAAACAGGAGCAAAAGCUACCAUGGGAGAAGCAUGUCCCAGAAAGCAGCUGGUCCUUUGGCCUGGGCUCCAGAAAAAGAUCUAGAAAACCUCUUGCUCCCAGAAGCAGAGCUGCAGCCCACGUGCAAAGUGCUUGUACUGAGAGCGUAUCAGCUGCUGAUCUCUCUGUGUCACCCAGC
rnacentral:lncRNA from 1 species